rnacentral:tRNA from 1 species
UGCAGAUUAGCUCAGAUGGUAGAGCGUCAGACUGAUAAUCUGAAUGGCGUGGGUUCGAAUCCCAUAUCCGCAA